CCUAUCAGCCGGGUUAUCGUCUCGCCUAAGGCGAGAAGGAAAGUCCGGACAGCACAGAGCAACACACCGGUUAACGGCCGGUCUCCACAGCAGUGUGGAGAAGACAGUGCCACAGAAAAUAACUACCUCAAUUUAUUGGGGCAAAGGUGAAAACGUGAGGUAAGAGCUCACGGGUUCUUGCAGCAAUGCAUCAAUUGGGUAAACCUUGUGUGCUGUAAUGCCACGUAAACCGGCGUUUGAGGGCGGCUCGCCCGAUGCCGAAGGGUAGGCAGCAAGAUCCAUGCAGUAAUGUAUGGGCCAGAUAAAUGAUAACCUCCCGCCUCGCCUUAGGCGAGGCGGGAACAGAAUCCGGCUUACAGGCUGAUAGAUUUU
rnacentral:RNase_P_RNA from 1 species